rnacentral:misc_RNA from 1 species
GUGAAUCAUCGAAUUUUUGAACGCAAAUUGCACUCUCUGGUAAUACGGUGAGUAUGUCUGUUUGAGGGUCAGUUUAAAUAAAAAUCGGUGUGGUUGCUGCCUUUCGUGGUGACGCAUUGGAUUUGGGUAGUUUUGCUUUCGGUUAAGUGAUAUAAAUUUUUGUAUGGUUUUUUUCGAAUGUAUUUAAAUGAUUUUACUUACGUUUUCGAUAUCGAAUUCUAGGUGUGGUUAUCCUUCAUAUUC